rnacentral:ncRNA from 1 species
GCCAUUCCGUUGGGGUGCCCUGCUUGUCGGGGCUGAGAGGCCGCGUGCCAACCCAUCGAACCUGAUCCGGGCAAUGCCGGCGUAGGGAACGGAGACAGAGUGGCC